GACGAACGCUGGCGGCGUGCUUAACACAUGCAAGUCGAACGGAAAGGCCCUGCUUUUGUGGGGUGCUCGAGUGGCGAACGGGUGAGUAACACGUGAGUAACCUGCCCUUGACUUUGGGAUAACUUCAGGAAACUGGGGCUAAUACCGGAUAGGAGCUCCUGCUGCAUGGUGGGGGUUGGAAAGUUUCGGCGGUUGGGGAUGGACUCGCGGCUUAUCAGCUUGUUGGUGGGGUAGUGGCUUACCAAGGCUUUGACGGGUAGCCGGCCUGGGAGGGUGACCGGACCAGUUGGGUUGGGACUGAGACACGGCCUCCUCCGGGAGGGGACGGUGGGGAAGAUUGCCCAAUGGGAGGAACCAUAACGCAGCGAAGCCGCGCGGGGGAUGAGGGGAAUCGGGUUGGAUUGCGAUUUUGCUUGUCACGAAGCGUGAGUGACGGUAAUCGGAAAAGAAGCACCGGCUAACUACGUG
rnacentral:rRNA from 1 species